UUGAACGCUGGCGGCAGGCCUAACACCUGCAAGUCGAACGGUAACAGGAAACAGCUUGCUGUUUCGCUGACGAGUGGCGGACGGGUGAGUAAUGUCUGGGAAACUGCCUGAUGGAGGGGGAUAACUACUGGAAACGGUAGCUAAUACCGCAUAACGUCGCAAGACCAAAGAGGGGGACCCUCGGGCCUCUUGCCAUCGGAUGUGCCCAGAUGGGAGUAGCUUGUUGGUGGGGUAACGGCUCACCAAGGCGACGAUCCCUAGCUGGUCUGAGAGGAUGACCAGCCACACUGGAACUGAGACACGGUCCAGACUCCUACGGGAGGCAGCAGUGGGGAAUAUUGCACAAUGGGCGCAAGCCUGAUGCAGCCAUGCCGCGUGUAUGAAGAAGGCCUUCGGGUUGUAAAGUACUUUCAGCGGGGAGGAAGGGAGUAAAGUUAAUACCUUGGCUCAUUGACGUUACCCGCAGAAGAAGCACCGGCUAACUCCGUG
rnacentral:rRNA from 1 species